rnacentral:tmRNA from 1 species
GGGGUUGACUGGUUUCGACAGCAAGGCCAAUAGGUAGGUAAGCAUGCAGAGAACCGUAGCGCGAUCUCUUUAAUCCCUUGCUACAAGUUUUAACUGGCAACGAAGAGUUUGCUCUUGCUGCUUAAUCUGAAGCAUAGUAGGAUUUUGCGUUUUCCCGAAGUACAGUAAGGAAACAAGAUGUUCCACGAAAGCCGUGUUCUGUGGCGUUCGGUUUUGGGGCAUAGGAAAGACAGAACUAAGCCUUUGGAGGCUUUGGCUAAAGGACGAAAAUAUUAAAAGAUAAGCCUGAAAUUGGGUGUUUGCUCUCUGUUUUAGGUCGAAAAUGAAUAGCAAAAUAAGCAUGUAGAAAGCUUGCAUAUUGCUUGUUUGGACGAGGGUUCGAAUCCCUCCAGCUCCACAA